UACGUAGGGGGCUAGCGUUGUCCGGAAUCAUUGGGCGUAAAGCGCGCGCAGGCGGCCCGGUAAGUCCGCUGUAAAAGUCCAGGGCUCAACCCUGGAAAGCCGGUGGAUACUGUCGGGCUCGAGUCCGGAAGAGGCGAGUGGAAUUCCUGGUGUAGCGGUGGAAUGCGCAGAUAUCAGGAAGAACACCGAUGGCGAAGGCAGCUCUCUGGGACGGUACUGACGCUGAGACGCGAAAGCGUGGGGAGCGAACAGG
rnacentral:rRNA from 1 species